rnacentral:snoRNA from 1 species
CUGCAUAUUCCUACAUCUUCCCAGAGUCCUUUUGGGGCCGUGACUGGGGAGCUAAACCAUGCAG